GACAGAGGUGCCGAGCGUUAGGCGGAAUCACUGGGCUUAAAGCGUGUGUAGGCGGACUUCUAAGUACCUUGUGAAAUCCCCCGGCUCAACCGGGGAACUGCUUGGUAUACUGGUUGUCUUGAGCCACUUAGGGGCAGUCGGAACAGACGGUGGAGCGGUGAAAUGCGUAGAUAUCGUCUGGAACGCCAAAGGUGAAAACAGACUGCUGGGAGUGCGCUGACGCUGAGACACGAAAGCCAGGGGAGCAAACGGG
rnacentral:rRNA from 1 species